rnacentral:rRNA from 1 species
AUGAAACUACAGAAUAGAGGACUGGAAGUGGAUACAAGCUGUCCAGUAUGCCAUCGAAUGGAUGAAGAUGGAGGUCAGUAUUUCCUAAAAUGCAAAUCUGUCAAGGCUAUUUGGAGAACUGCAUUGUUGGAAGAAAGUCGGAUGCAACUUCUCAAUUGCCCAAAUGCCAUCUCGAUGGUGGAGGAUAUCUUGCACAUGGAAGAGGAAAAAUGUCUGAAAGUAUGCAUCCUUUUGUGGUUAUGGUGGUCUGAAAGAAACAGAGCUAAUCAAGGAGAAAGGAUUAGGACUGAAGAGGAAAUUAUAUAUUCAGUUCAGCUGCACUUGUUGUAA